CGAGCCGUUGGUCUCCUGCCCGCGGUCUCUAUAUAUCCGAACCCCCGCCAGCGGCGUUUUUCCGUCUCAGGGUUUGUGGUUAUUGUCCGCCGGCCCUUCAAUCGGCGGAGCUCUGCCAUGGCGAAACCACGAGGCUCAGGGUUUGAUGUCGUUUUACGCCGUCGCUGCAGUCGGCGCUGUUCUUAUCAUGGUGAAGCUACCUGGCUUAGGGUUUGUUGUCGUUCUCCACCAUCUCUGCAGGCCGCGCUGAUCUCCCAUGGCGAAGCUGCGUUCCGGUGUUACCUGUUUUCUUCUGGCAGAUCUUCGAGUUCGUGGUGUUCCUGAUGGUAUCGAUUAGGUCUUCCCUUGUUCUGUCUUGUAUUUUGGUUCUUUUUAUCAUAUCCCCAUACUAUUUCUCUCAUCCGAUCUGCUUUUCCUUGAGAUUCUCCUGGUUUCUCGUCGAUUCGUUAGUGAAUUUCUUUCCUCCUAUAUUGCUGUCACUUGGAUGGGUAUGCUGCAACAAAAGCAUCGAUUAUCGAUCUGAGGCGCGGAUCCUUUAUGGGAGGCUGCUAUUUCGUGUCAUAACUCUUGUAUGCAGGGCAGGGGAUGAUUUCUUUUCUGCUUGUUAAGCAGUUCCAUGGCUGAAAACAUAAGAUAGAGUUUCAUCCACCACACGAUCGCGUCGCCUAGAUCUACGGAUCCUAGCUAUUUCUCGGUCAACUUUGGUUUGUUUUAUAUAUAUCUAACUUGUGCCUUUUCAUAGUUCAUUCAUCUUUUGGCUUGUUUCGUUAUCAUGAGAUCCAACAUGGUUUCUUUCAGUAUUAUCAGUUUCAUCAGUUUAUUUGCAUCUUCUUGUUUCAUUACAAAUAUUCACUGUCGGAAAUUUUUUUCUUUCAAUUUAAUGAUUGUUCUGAGCCUUCGAACUAUUUAUUAUGAUUGUCUUUUUUUUUUUUUCUAUUUGGGAUCGUAUUGCAGGUUAGCUUAGAUUCUUUCUCAGGCGCCCUAUGAUCAUGUUUCUUGGAUCAGGAGUUCGGUAGAUGACUGUUCGUGUUCCAUGGAUUUUGUUGAUCGUACGUCUCUUUUACAAGUACAUAGGAGCUCGAACCAUGGGGCGGUUUAUGAUUGUCAGACUAUGUUCUCCAAAGUCGUAUUAAAGGUGUAAAAUUAUGAUAUUCCCUGUGGCUGGGAACAAGCGGGUAUUGAUUGAGGGAAGGAGCUGGAGAUUUCUUCCAUUUAGGGAGCAUGUACGAGGAAAAAGAAGCUUAUUUCAGAUCCAUGGAGCUUGACGAAGAAGGCUAUUAGUGUUCCAAGGAAUUUGGUGACCAGCUGUUAUUAAGCAUCGGAGGAACUAGCGGUAUGGAUAAAUUGGGCUAUCAGAGGUUCCCUGUGUGCUUCUGGUGGUGAUCUCAUGGGACGUUUCUUGAUUCCUUGCUCUUACUCUCCAGUUGCUCUUUCUCUUACGAGGUUAUUUGCUUUCUGGUUAAUCUAAAUUUUUUAGGUGUUUUGGAUUUUACUUCCAUGGGAGGUAUAUACCACUCUUUGCACAGACAUAACUCUCAACAUUGACUCAUGUUACAUUGAAUAGGAAUAUGUCAAUGAUCUUGAAUUGUUGCAAACAUGAUCUUCGUUUAUCUUUCA